UACGUAGGGGGCAAGCGUUGUCCGGAUUUAUUGGGCGUAAAGAGCGCGUAGGCGGCUUGACAGGUCUGCUGUGAAAACUCGAGGCUCAACCUCGAGAUGUCGGCGGAAACCGUCUGGCUAGAGUCCGGAAGAGGAGAGUGGAAUUCCUGGUGUAGCGGUGAAAUGCGCAGAUAUCAGGUGGAAUACCGGUGGCGAAGGCGGCCAAUUGGCCCAACACUGACGCUGAGAUACGAAAGCGUGGGGAUCAAACAGG
rnacentral:rRNA from 1 species